rnacentral:lncRNA from 1 species
GUGUGGCCUCUAUAUGACUGUAUGACUUAUAGGUUGUAAUUAACUUAUAACUUGUAAGAAAAAUUAUUAAGGGUCUAUUUGGAUGAUUAAAUCUAAAAUUCUAUAGAAUUCAUAGCCUAACCAUCAAAAAUAUAAAAUUAUAUGCUCGACUAGACCUAUUUUACAACUAUCCAUAACUACCUUUUGAGUGAAUUGGUCUGAAUCCCAUAGGAAGAAACAAAUGACCUCAACAAGUAAGUUUGUUCUCCCU